rnacentral:ribozyme from 1 species
UAUUCAUGGACAUUAAAGGAAAGAGGAGAUUAGAAGUAAGAAAUAAGAGAAGAGAAUGAUUGUUUAUUUCUUUACUUCUCCAGUUUGUUUGCUUUUCUCGUUCUUUGUGUUAUCUUAUCUUGUCCACUA